rnacentral:rRNA from 1 species
UACGUAGGGUGCAAGCGUUAAUCGGAAUUACUGGGCGUAAAGCGUGCGCAGGCGGUUGUGCAAGACCGAUGUGAAAUCCCCGGGCUUAACCUGGGAAUUGCAUUUGUGACUGCACGGCUAGAGUGUGUCAGAGGGGGGUAGAAUUCCACGUGUAGCAGUGAAAUGCGUAGAUAUGGGGAGGAAUACCGAUGGCGAAGGCAGCCCCCUGGGUUAACACUGACGCUCAGGCACGAAAGCGUGGGGAGCAAACAGG